UUACUUAUUCAAUAAUAUUAUUCUUGUCAUCCUACCUACUAUAUAGGACUAUUCUUCCCUUGCAUGGUAAAUAGCUAAGAUGAUCCCUGCUUCUUAUUAUCACAGUUAAUCAAUACUACGAAUGCAUGGCAUUACAAAUAUUUUUUUAUUUUAUUUUUCAGAGACAAUUAUGACCAUUAUGUAUUCAUGUGUGAUUUGAUGAUAGAAAGAUCUCAAGUGAAAUCCAUUACAACUUUUGGCUAAAACUAACUAGGGACCUCUUUAUAAUUAGUCCAAGAUGCUUAUUCCUUUCUGUUCUCUGUUCAGCACCCUGCUUUUGCUUUUGUUUUUUGUUUUUCAUCCCUUUUCACACAAUGGAAACACCUACGGAGGGUGGACACUAUGUGCAACAUCAUCAAACUAUGUAGAAAAAAAGUUACACAACAAACGGAAAGCAAAUAAUGUUGUAAAAUAAAAAAAUAAAAACACUAACCUGUAAGUAGUGGAGCAACCGUAGCAGGAGUAAACACUAACCUGUAAAGAGUUGGCUCAAUACUUGCUUUUAUUAACUCUGAUGCUGGCUAUGCCAUCGUAUAGAUGAAAGAUAUAAAAUAAUUUGCAUCUGAGAUUUGUUUUAACAGAAAAUAAUAAUUUACCUCGUUUAGUUAAUCUGAAGGAUGAGACAUAAAUAUAACUCACUUCUGGCGCUGAGAAAAGACCGCCCAAGGUGGAACAAUUUUUCUUAUAUCCUGCACUCUCAUCCUUGCCUACAUAAUGUAAGGUCAUGAAUACAUGAGAGAAGUCUUCUUCACUUGCUUGCCUGAUUUUCUACAACCAAAACUUUCCAUUUAUCCUUCAUACCAGCAGAGCUCAAAUGCACAUUCUCCUUUUUCUUUCUUUUUUCUUUUUCUUUUGUUUGAGUUUGAAAGCUUCUUUUCCAACUCAACUUCUACCUUUUAGCUACCUUUUGAAAAAAAGAAGAAGCAGGAUGCUGAACAGAGGGAAGAGAGAAGAGGAAGAGGAAGAGGAAAAAAUGAUCUGAUUAUAGAGAGA
rnacentral:lncRNA from 1 species